GACGAACGCUGGCGGCGUGCUUAACACAUGCAAGUCGAACGGAAAGGCCCUGCUUUUGUGGGGUGCUCGAGUGGCGAACGGGUGAGUAACACGUGAGUAACCUGCCCUUGACUUUGGGAUAACUUCAGGAAACUGGGGCUAAUACGGGUAAGGACCUCUGGCGCCUGGGUGGGGGUGGGAAAGUUUCGGCGGUUGGGGUUGGACUCGCGGCUUAUCAGCUUGUUGGUGGGGUAGUGGCUUACCAAGGCUUUGACGGGUAGCCGGCCUGAGAGGGUGACCGGCCACAUUGGGACUGAGAUGCGGCCCAGACUCCUACGGGAGGCAGCAGUGGGGAAUAUUGCACAAUGGGCGGAAGCCUGAUGCAGCAACGCCGCGUGCGGGAUGACGGCCUUCGGGUUGUAAACCGCUUUCGCCUGUGACGAAGCGUGAGUGACGGUAAUGGGUAAAGAAGCACCGGCUAACUACGUG
rnacentral:rRNA from 1 species